CCUACGGGAGGCAGCAGUAGGGAAUCUUCCACAAUGGGCGAAAGCCUGAUGGAGCAACGCCGCGUGGGUGAAGCAGGUCUUCGGAUCGUAAAACCCUGUUGUCAGAGAAGAAAGUGCGUGAGCGUAACUGUUCACGUUUCGACGGUAUCUAACCAGAAAGCCACGGCUAACUACGUGCCAGCAGCCGCGGUAAUACGUAGGUGGCAAGCGUUAUCCGGCUUUAUUGGGCGUAAAGGGAACGCAGGCGGUCUGUUAAGUCUGAUGUGAAAGCCGUCGGCUUAACCGGAGUAGUGCAUUGGAAACUGGGAGACGUGAGUGCAGAAGAGGAGAGUGGAACUCCAUGUGUAGCGGUGAAAUGCGUAGAUAUAUGGAAGAACACCAGUGGCGAAAGCGGCUCUCUGGUCUGUAACGGACGCUGAGGUUCGAAAGCGUGGGUAGCAAACAGGAUUAGAUACCCUAGUAGUC
rnacentral:rRNA from 1 species